CCUACGGGCGGCAGCAGUGAGGAAUAUUGGUCAAUGGACGAGAGUCUGAACCAGCCAAGUAGCGUGAAGGAUGACUGCCCUAUGGGUUGUAAACUUCUUUUAUAUGGGAAUAAAACGUUCCACGUGUGGGAUUUUGUAUGUACCAUAUGAAUAAGGAUCGGCUAACUCCGUGCCAGCAGCCGCGGUAAUACGGAGGAUCCGAGCGUUCUCCGGAUUUAUUGGGUUUAAAGGGAGCGUAGGUGGAUUGUUAAGUCAGUUGUGAAAGUUUGCGGCUCAACCGUAAAAUUGCAGUUGAAACUGGCAGUCUUGAGUACAGUAGAGGUGGGCGGAAUUCGUGGUGUAGCGGUGAAAUGCUUAGAUAUCACGAAGAACUCCGAUUGCGAAGGCAGUUCACUGGACUGCAACUGACACUGAGGCUCGAAAGUGUGGGUAUCAAACAGGAUUAGAUACCCCAGUAGUC
rnacentral:rRNA from 1 species